AAUAUAUAUCUCUAGCGCGGUCAAGCGCUUUUUACUCUUCUGGUGGACAAAGGAAUACGUUGGCUCAAGUACCGAUAUGUGAUUCAGGGAGACGUAGUUUAUUCAAACAUAACUCUGCGCGGGCAAGGACGUGUACUCGUUUGGUGGACAAAAGAAUACGUUGGCUCAAGUAUCGAUGUACGAUCCAGUGAGACGCAGUUUAUCCAAUAUAACUCUACCGUGGUCAGUGCUUUUACUCUU